GCCAGCAGCCAAAUCACCCUGUGACUCACAGCUGGCAGCCCCACUGAAGCUCAGCAGGUGUGAGCCUGGUCAGUACCUGGAUGGGAAACUCCUGGGAAAAACGAAGGUUGCUGCUGGAA
rnacentral:rRNA from 1 species